CUGUCAUAUAAAUUCGCAUGACCGUAUUAAUACACGAUGCGCAACAAGGUCUAUUGAGGAUAGAGGUCGAAUUAUAGCUUGUUUCUGGUCUGACAUUUUGAAUCCUGUUUUGACAUUUCAGUAAGAAAGUGUUUACAAAUAAUUGCAGCAGAUGGGUGCUGUUCUUUUAUCUCGCAUUUUUUAGUUCAAAUACAGAAAAAACAUGUGAAAUAAUACAAAUGUUCCGUGUUACUCGUGAAGAUAACUUCAUAUGCAGCUUCGUGUACAUAUCUAGCUCCAUGUAAUCACAGGUCACGGAAACUAACUCCAAUAACUUCCAAAAGCUCCAAUCCUCAAAUUCUGCUCUUAUCUCACUUUUUCUUUCUCGUUGGCCUGCUUACGAUUGAGCCCAGCGCCGUUGAAUGGCCGGGACUACUAUUAUUUAUCAGGAGGUUCGAUGCCUUCAGCGUCCAUCAAUGCAGGCAUCCGAUCACCGACAGACCCUGCUUAGCCUGAUUCCGGAUCCACCUAGUACCAAACACAGGACCGACCACUUUCUUGGAGGGCAUUACUACGGCAUUUUCAUUACAUGCCCCAGCCAUCGUAUCAUAGGCCCUGACUACCGUUAGGAUACACGAUUUACCGUACACCUCAGAAAGCUUAGCCUUGUUGAUUUGUAUGGCAUUAGUUAUAC